UUGGAAUUAUAAAUAAUCGUUGCUUCGUUCUCGAAUGAAUAUUUCAAGUAAAAAAAAAAGGGGUAACACCAAAUAAAAAUUUAUAAUGUCCGGCAUAUCUCCGAAGUCCGCUAAAUUACUAUUAUACAAAUUAAUCAAAUCCUUACCUAUUACAAUUAGAGAAAAGUUCAAGCAGCCCAUUCAACGGUCGUGCUCGCACUCCAAGAAAGUCCGGUACACCAUCAGGGAAGACUAUGGAUGUUAUUUGUUUUCCUACACCAAAGCCACGAGCUUAAACUGGGUUUUUCCUAUACCAAAUUAAAUAAAUAAGUAAAUAAAUAUACAAAUAAUAAAAUUUAAUAAACAAAUAAAAUAUUAAAAAAUAAAAAAAUGAGAGAGAGGGCAGAUACAUAGAAUCAUUUUUUUCCACACAACAUUAAAUGAUGCAUUAAUAGCUUUGCAGUAGAAAUCAUUCUCUGACAAAAUUUUGCAAGAUACGGCACUUGCCAUCCUAAUCCUUAAUCCCUAAGUAUGCCUAACCAUUUAGGCAUAUCACUUUCUUUCACUCACCCACAUCACCAUCACACGCCUCUUUCAAUAUAUCCCACCACCCUAAUCUCCUCUUUCUCUACCGCCACUCCUCCAUAUUAGUUCAUUCACAAUAAAGUUCCACCCCCACAAGUUGCUCCGCUAAAAUCAGCAAGAAGUUUAAAAGAACAAGGUUGAUAUUCUUCUCAUCUCAAUCGAAACAAAUUCAAGAAGACGAGAGCUAAAUCAAUUGAAUUACAGAAACUGAAUCUGCAAAAUCCAGUGGGUUACUCCUUUCGGUUCUACAAUUUCACAACUAAUAUCGUGUUAUCAAGGCUAUCUCCGUGAGUUAAGGGUGGAGUCAGGGAAAUUCAAGUUAAGGAGUUUUAAGCAGUCGAGGUUGAGCAGCGAAGUGGUGGAAGAAGUGCUAUUGAGACAAGACAUUUAAUUCAGUCAGAUUUUGACUCUCGGAGGUUCAUGUCUCCAUACAUGGACUGCGUUCUUUUGUUUCCGCUGUGCCGGUAAAGAGGCAGUGUCUAUUCUACUUUUGACUCUGAUAAUCAGAACUUGUAUGAACGGUCACUCGAUUCUGCAUGAUCGAGUGUAUUUUAUUCUAAGUAUUUCCCUAUAUGAGUUUAUUA